AAAGCGAUAAUCGAAUUUCGCAAUCCUUUGUUGUUGGUGCGUUGUCACCAAAAAAUUUUGAAUAUGAUAUAGUGCGCGCAAAACAAAUAAUUCAAUCAGAAGUUGCAAAAUGGCGGUUUACGUAGGCAUGAAACGGCUUGAAUAUUUUAGUAUGGAACCUGGCCUGCCUGCAUUUCCGCCAUUUUCUUUUUUUUCAAACUAACAGCCACACACAAAACCUGUAUUAAUCAAUAAUAGCUAGAAUGUUGUACUGAGUACUGUUAAUAAACGUUUUAUGCAUGGCCGCUAUUUUGAAAAAAAAUAAUUGCAGACUAUUAAGUAGGCCAAAAUCUUCAAAGCCCUUUAAUUACAUCAGGUACAGAAAAUCUUAUUCGGCAUUGUUUUACCUUUUGACAAACUUGUAGCAAUGAUUCCACUGGCAGAGUAUUAGUACUUCUGUGUUUCACUGUCAAGACUGUCCAGUAGUGUUGAUAAGAGAUUUUAAAUCUCGUCAGAGUAAAGUGAACCUUAAGGCCCUUGAUUUAAGGUCUUUCAUUCAGUACUACCGAUUUUUAUUUCGCUAGGUUCCCGGUUUUAGCUGGCUGUAGAUGUUUAGACGAAGUUAAGCUUUAAACAAGGGUGAUUAAGGUCCAUUUUACUUUAACGUUAAAGUGUUGACGCUCGAAUCAACAUUUUAAAGAUGUAAAAUCUCAUACUAACUCUACUGUUAAAGACUUUAGGGCCAGUUAAACGUCAGACGAUAAAAGUAAAGUUAAACUUGCACAACAAAAGAAAAACUAAAUGGGUUGCAUAAGUCAGUAUUCGUAUUUACUUCUAUAGUUAAGGUAUAUCCCCGACACUCCAUACAAGCAAACUGAUUUAAUUAUCUACUACUACUACCGGAACACCGGCCUGUCCGCACACGAUUUGUGUGUGAGAACCUGACUUGCAGCCCACUAUGUUUUAUUGAUGGUAUUUUUAAAACUUAAAUACCGUCUGAUAUAUUUAACUGGUCCUAAUAAUAAAAUUGUUGAAACUAAAAAUACUUCAUAAAUAUAAUUAUACAUAGUUUAUUUUUAUACUUAUGCACUGAAGAGUAGCUUAAAUGAUGCUUUUGUUGAAAUCAAAAUAUUGUAGAUAAUAAUUUAAUUGUUUAUUUGUAUGAUAUAAUUAUGAUAAAUAUGAUCGAAAUCACCAAAUAAUAUAAUUUGAAUAUACGUAUGUUGAUAUCGAUAUUA